ensembl:lncRNA
GGCUUCUAUCGUGGCCUGACGUAGAGCGAGUUCUCUCCUGUGUGUGUUCAGCUACUUUAGAUUCAAGGUUGGUUUCUGUCACGGUUACAAACAGCGAGGCUCCAAACUUGCAUUGCACUUGCACUUCUCUUUUUUCCCCCUUUACUUUCCUGUUUCCUGACCGUUUCACCCCUCAGGCAUCAGAAAGCCGUUGCCCUGCUGACAGGGCUUUUGUUCUCUGCAGGGGGAAACCAUCACUGAAACUCGAGGCGCCCGGGUGUCUUUGCACUCUUUGCUUUACAAAACACGGACAUGAAUUGUUGCUUCUGAGGGCUAAUGAGGAAAUGUGCAAGAUGAAGCAUUCAGGGCACAGAAACGAGGAACAAAAACCAACACUGUUCUUUCCUGUGGUUUGAUUUGAGUGUGUGUUUUCUCCCUCAUAUGAUUGCGCCAUGAAAUCCUUUUGCUAUCUGGCUCAAUAUAUAAGAAACUAUCCAUUGUUAAACAGUAACAUAGUCAUUAUGCCUCCGCUUCACAAGUGGACAGACCUUUAUUACCAGUAUUAAUGGCGACCGUCUUGAUGACUGCACCUGCAAAAAUAUCGUUUUCACAUUCUACAGAUCCACUUUACCGGAAGGCUGUUAUCCAACGGCAGCUGAGCUCUGGGCGCCGAAACAAACGCCACAAAAGAUUUCACUUCAUGACGGAGAACUCCCUCUCUGUCACGCAUUCAUAUGCAUGAUAUAAAAACACGUGGCCGCGCCAUCUGUUGGAUUGGCACGACUGACGCUGCAGCCUAAGACAAUGUGGUGGAAGAUAUUCACGAGAUAAUCUACAUCUAAUAAUCUGCAUCUGUUCUGCGGCACAGGGUGGAAUUUAAAGAUAUUUGCACGCUGCAGAUUGCGAAAUAUACUGUUAUAUGCAAAUUAACGAAUACAUUAACAAAUAAAUACAUUUAGCUUCCACUUUUUCAAGUAACAAAUGGCUUUAUUAAUGGUUGAGUAUUUUUUGUUCUUGUGAUGAACUCCAAAUAAGAGCAACGUUUUGGUUUUCAGGUCGUAAAAACCCACUUUAAGCGAAGCAAUGCUGCU